CCUACGGGAGGCAGCAGUGAGGAAUAUUGGUCAAUGGACGAGAGUCUGAACCAGCCAAGUAGCGUGAAGGAUGACUGCCCUAUGGGUUGUAAACUUCUUUUAUAUGGGAAUAAAACGUUCCACGUGUGGGAUUUUGUAUGUACCAUAUGAAUAAGGAUCGGCUAACUCCGUGCCAGCAGCCGCGGUAAUACGGAGGAUCCGAGCGUUAUCCGGAUUUAUUGGGUUUAAAGGGAGCGUAGGUGGAUUGUUAAGUCAGUUGUGAAAGUUUGCGGCUCAACCGUAAAAUUGCAGUUGAAACUGGCAGUCUUGAGUACAGUAGAGGUGAGCGGAAUUCGUGGUGUAGCGGUGAGAAGCUGAGAUAACACGAAGAACUCCGAUUGCGAAGGCAGUUCACUGGACUGCAACUGACACUGGGGCUCGAAAGUGUGGGUAUCAAACAGGAUUAGAUACCCGAGUAGUC
rnacentral:rRNA from 1 species